UGAGGAGGUGAUACCUGCUAUAGUGACCUGAGGAGGUGAUACCUGAGGAGGUGAUACCUGAGGAGGUGAUACCUGAGGAGGUGAUACCUGCUAUAGUGACUUGAGGGGAGGUGACGAGAGGGGGGGGGCUCUCCUCACAGGUCCGGCCGUGGUGGGGGUCUCUGCAGCUGCAGACGAAGCCCCCCACCCUGUCCGUACAGUUCCCCCCCUGGAGGCACGGGUUGGGCUGGCACUGGUCACCGUCUGGAGAGAGAGAGAGAGAGAGAGAGGGAGAGAGAGAGAGAGAGAGAGAGAGAGAGAGAGAGAGAGAGAGAGAGAGAGAGAGAGAGAA